UACGUAGGGCGCAAGCGUUUGUCCGGAAUUAUUGGGCGUAAAGAGCUCGUAGGCGGCUUGUCACGUCGAUUGUGAAAGCCCGAGGCUUAACCUCGGGUCUGCAGUCGAUACGGGCUAGCUAGAGUGUGGUAGGGGAGAUCGGAAUUCCUGGUGUAGCGGUGAAAUGCGCAGAUAUCAGGAGGAACACCGGUGGCGAAGGCGCCGCUCUGGGCCGAAACUGACGCUGAGGAGCGAAGGCCAGGGGAGCAAACGGG
rnacentral:rRNA from 1 species